rnacentral:rRNA from 1 species
CAGCAGCCGCGGUAACACGUAGGUGGCAAGCGUUGUCCGGAAUUAUUGGGCGUAAAGGGCUCGCAGGCGGUUUCUUAAGUCUGAUGUGAAAGCCCCCGGCUCAACCGGGGAGGGUCAUUGGAAACUGGGAAACUUGAGUGCAGAAGAGGAGAGUGGAAUUCCACGUGUAGCGGUGAAAUGCGUAGAGAUGUGGAGGAACACCAGUGGCGAAGGCGACUCUCUGGUCUGUAACUGACGCUGAGGAGCGAAAGCGUGGGGAGCGAACAGGAUUAGAGACCCCGGUAGUCCCUGUCUCUUAUAC